rnacentral:lncRNA from 1 species
AUCGGGCGGAUUGGGCGGCUUUUUACUCUUAACGGUUUGGCUUAACGGUUAUCGGCUUUUAAAUUAUUAAUCUGUUAGCCACCCGAUAUCGGGCGGAUUGGUAUCGGGUUAGCUCUUAUAGGGCGGUUAUAGGGCGACUUAUCGGCCUAACAUACAUGUUUACUAGAAUUUGAUAGAUCUCUUUAGGCAAUUAUAGAUCAAACACCUAUUCCAGUAUACCUUCAUAUGAGCUAGCUUGUUAAUGUCUUUUCAGGGCAUUCAUUU